rnacentral:pre_miRNA from 1 species
UAGACAAAUUAUUGUAUCGACUGUAUUCACGGCGUGAAACAGGGGAUUACACUGUUUUUAAAUGGAAAGUGAAUCAAUUAACAUAAUAGACUCCU